rnacentral:rRNA from 1 species
GCGUAAAGCGCACGCAGGCGGUCUGUCAAGUCGGAUGUGAAAUCCCCGGGCUCAACCUGGGAACUGCAUUCGAAACUGGCAGGCUAGAGUCUUGUAGAGGGGGGUAGAAUUCCAGGUGUAGCGGUGAAAUGCGUAGAGAUCUGGAGGAAUACCGGUGGCGAAGGCGGCCCCCUGGACAAAGACUGACGCUCAGGUGCGAAAGCGUGGGGAGCAAACAGGAUUAGAUACCCUGGUAGUCCACGCCGUAAACGAUGUCGAUUUGGAGGUUGUGCCCUUGAGGCGUGGCUUCCGGAGCUAACGCGUUAAAUCGACCGCCUGGGGAGUACGGCCGCAAGGUUAAAACUCAAAUGAAUUGACGGGGGCCCGCACAAGCGGUGGAGCAUGUGGUUUAAUUCGAU